rnacentral:tRNA from 2 species
GGGCCAUUAGCUCAGUUGGUAGAGCACCUGACUCUUAAUCAGGGUGUCGGGGGUUCGAGUCCCUCAUGGCCCACCA